rnacentral:rRNA from 1 species
GACGAACGCUGGCGGCGUGCUUAACACAUGCAAGUCGAACGGAAAGGCCCUGCUUUUGUGGGGUGCUCGAGUGGCGAACGGGUGAGUAACACGUGAGUAACCUUCCCUUUACUUUGGGAUAACUUCAGGAAACUGGGGCUAAUACCGGAUAGGAGCUCCUGCUGCAUGGUGGGGGUUGGAAAGUUUCGGCGGUUGGGGAUGGACUCGCGGCUUAUCAGCUUGUUGGUGGGGUAGUGGCUUACCAAGGCUUUGACGGGUAGCCGGCCUGAGAGGGUGACCGGCCACAUUGGGACUGAGAUACGGCCCAGAAUCCUACGGGAGGCAGCAGUGGGGAAUAUUGCACAAUGGGCGGAAGCCUGAUGCAGCAACGCCGCGUGCGGGAUGACGGCCUUCGGGUUGUAAACCGCUUUCGCCUGUGACGAAGCGUGAGUGACGGUAAUGGGUAAAGAAGCAACGGCUAACUACGUG